ACCCAGAUGAGGAGUUCGAAAUAGGGCGAAAUGCGCAUUCUAGAU
rnacentral:hammerhead_ribozyme from 1 species